UACGGGGGGUGCGAGCGUUGUCCGGAUUCAUUGGGCGUAAAGAGCUCGUAGGCGGUUCGAUAAGUCGGGUGUGAAACCUCCAGGCUCAACCUGGAGACGCCACCCGAUACUGUCGUGACUAGAGUCCAGUAGGGGAGCGUGGAAUUCCUGGUGUAGCGGUGAAAUGCGCAGAUAUCAGGAAGAACACCCGUGGCGAAGGCGGCUCUCUGGGACGGUACUGACGCUGAGACGCGAAAGCCAGGGGAGCAAACGGG
rnacentral:rRNA from 1 species